GACAGAGGUGCCGAGCGUUAGGCGGAAUCACUGGGCUUAAAGCGUGUGUAGGCGGACCGUUAAGUACCUUGUGAAAUCCCACGGCUCACCCGUGGAACGGCUGGGUAUACUGGCGGUCUUGGGCCACCUAGGGGCAGAUGGAACAGACGGUGGAGCGGUGAAAUGCGUAGAUAUCGUCUGGAACGCCGAUGGUGAAAACAGUCUGCUGGGGGUGUGCCGACGCUGAGACACGAAAGCCAGGGGAGCGAACGGG
rnacentral:rRNA from 1 species